GGAAGAUCUCCCGUAAAAAAUUUUUGCUAAAGAUCUAGAAGAAAUGAAAUAGCUCAGGAAAAAUAGAUUUGCCCGACCAGACCCAUCUUCCCCAAUCUGGACGGCCCCACCUCCCCACGCCGUCGACGUCGCCAACUGCGCCAACCUCCCCACGAUGGUCAUCGCCUAAGAACCCCUCGCCUCUGCUUAUUGCUGGGGCAGUCGCCACUGCUGACGUUCCCCGUCGUCAUCGGCUCCUUCAUGCCCAUCUGCCAUCUCAAGGGCCCCUCGCCCUGCGCUCUACUGGACCUUCAGCGUCGCCGCCCUCAGCCGCCUGCGAGCCUUCGCCAGGUCUCCCCGCGCGCCAGGUCGUCUCUAUGUGCCGCCGCUUGAAGCUCCCCUGCUCGCGGCCCUCACCCACCGCCGCACUGGCCUAUCUGAUUAAUUGACGGUGCCGCCGACGCUGGUUCGUGGGAGUUGAUUACGGCAGCGUACAACCACCACUUCAUAGAGAACAUGGAAGAGGAGAAAGUAAAUGCAAAUGCCCAGCAGGUGGCCGGACCUUGGGACUCCAUCAGCGUCAACAAUGAGUGUAGUAAUCUGUGCAGAAAAACUCCUUUCGCAUAUCAGGUUCAAUCCACACUUCUCUCUGCCAGUCUGAAUGCUCCAUUUUUGUUUGCUAGAGUAUUUGACAUUGACAAUGUACUCCAACUAUUUUAUGAGUUGAACUUGCCAUGAAUUCAAUUCUAUAAAAGAGUUAACCUCAGGAAUUUGUUUAUCAGCCACUAAUACCGCAAAAAACUAUAGAACAAUGUUAUUACUGGUAAUGGAUAGAUGCACUGCAGAAAUAUGAAUAAUUUUGGUCAAAAGAAUGCAGGGCUGCUCUUUCUUAUUAGUUAUCCCUCUCAUGGUUCUUAAUAGAUCCCCUGGAAGCUCUUGAACCUACGGUGGAGUCAGUUCCCCGUCAGUAGGAACUGCUUGCGUUAGGCCAUCAGACUGUUAGUUGUAACCAUGUUAUUCGGUCGAGCUUUUCCAUCCAGCUGUCGAAAUAGUAUCAAAGUAGAAGUUGUUAAACAUGAAACUACCAAGUUAUGUACUCUGCUAUUAUGGUUGUGAUUUGUGAAGCUCGUACAGUCUGCUUGAUGUCUACACCAAAUUUACUUCAGGCAACAGGAUGAUGAGUUAUGGCAAGUCUUCAGGAUGUAGGGCUAAUCAUAGACGAAGAAUUCAUUGGCCCAGUUGCAGGAGAGUGUCCGAGAGUAAAUUUUACGAAGCUUAGUCCAUGCGCUGUCCCUCGCCGGUGGCACUCGCGAUGGAGGACUCCCUGCAUGGCUCCUCGGCAGCUCGACUACUCUCCGAGAACGGACGGCGGCGGACGCGGCUCACAUCCCCGACGUGGUGGCCGUCGUCUUGACUCCCUUCGAUGAUAGGUGACACCAUCCGCGUGGCACCCGUGGCGCACGCAAGACGACGGCCUUCAACUUGCAGCGCUGCCGCAUGACACGCUCCAGCCCAAGGCAGCUGGCAGUCCCGACGUCAGGCAGAUGGUGCCCCCGAAGCGGAGCCACAACUAACUACAACAACAAGGAUCCUCAAGGAUCAGUGAGGGGUAUGAUUUCAUGUGUUUGGUUUCACGACGGUCUGGUUCUGCGUCCAUGGGGAGAUGGCCAUGCUCAUGUAGCGGUUCAAAUUCGGCGCCGCGCAAUGCGCGAUAGAGCGUUAUUGUGUUAUGCUGCUACCCGGUGUGCCACACAAGCCUCUGUGACCUCUCCUUGCUGUUGUCAUCAGCGUCGUCGGCAACGCCCUUGACGGCGAAGUGGCCGGCUACAGUCUGACAGAACCAUCUGGUUGUAUGGCCACGAUGGCUUGGCUGGAGGAGAGUCCAUGGCGUACGAUUCCAUAAGAAAUCUGGCUUAGAUCCAUCUACCAUUGAGGAGGUUGGGCUGGGUCAACGAGCCAAGCCCUGGAUCUGGGCCACUCAUCAUGAAAGGGUCACUAUUUUGGGCAUACAAUAAUUUUAGCAAGACAAGAAGUAAGCGUCAUUGACCUAUGAGGAUUCAGUUUCAAGAGAAGAACGCAAAAUCUAUAACCUCCCCAGUUCCUCUGUUUGCAAAUAUGUCUAUUGGAAAACUUUUCAGCAACCUUGAAAAGCUGGUGAAUCUCGCACCACCCCUCGUCGUCACCUGCCACCCCAAUGGCCGGAUCCCGUGGCCGCCGGUCGACGCCAUCCAUUCGCAGUGCGGAUCCGCGCUGCCGCCGCCACGAGCGAAGCGUGGGUGCGUCCUCCUCACUCCGCCACCACGAUGUCGCGCCCCCCUCCGACGGGCUCGCCGGCUUCCCCGAUCUCCCCGCGCCGCCACCGCCGUAGAGGAAGUACCUUGGCGUCCGACAGCAGGCGUUGAGGACGUGGGUGUCCGAAAUCAUGGAUCAGGAGACCCACAAGAAGCAUUGUGUGGGCCCUUUUCACACCGUCGUGCUCGCCGCAAAGGAGUACAAUCGGUGGCAGCUCCGGCUGCACAGCGCCGCUGCCUUUCCUGAACUUUGCGUUUGUGGAGGGUCCUUUGCAGCCUCCACCGCCGCGGGGGGUGGUGACAGGAGCUAUGGGUACGGAGGACCGGGAGGAGAGUGAGCGCAUUGCGUCGGAGGCCGCCGACAAGGAGUACAUGGCGGACCUCCACCGCAGGUACCAUGAGCUGGUGGUGCUGGAGCGCAAGCUCUUCGUGGAGGCGAAGCGCGGGGUCGACGGCGAGGCAUCAUCCUCUCGGACGACGAGGAGGACGGCGAUGCAGAGGACGACGAGGACUUCAACUUAAAGAGUUGCGGCGGAUCUUCCCCGACUGCGGCGACGACGACACAGGGCCAGACCUGGUGGGCGGUGGGAUUUCCCCGGCGGAUUGGCUCGCCCUCUACAAGAUUGACGAUGUUUAGUUUUAGCUGGAGUUCAUAUUUGGGUUUAACUUCAAGUUCAUGUUUAGGUCUAAAAACUAGAUUAUGUUUUAUGUACAUUAUGUGUCGAAUUCCGGUUGCUUAAAUUGAAUCUAUGUUGAACUUAUAAAAUUUUGCUUUUUACGCCGUUAAA